GACGAACGCUGGCGGCGUGCCUAAUACAUGCAAGUUGAGCGAUGAAGAUUGGUGCUUGCACCAAUUUGAAGAGCAGCGAACGGGUGAGUAACGCGUGGGGAAUCUGCCUUUGAGCGGGGGACAACAUUUGGAAACGAAUGCUAAUACCGCAUAACAACUUUAAACAUAAGUUUUAAGUUUGAAAGAUGCAAUUGCAUCACUCAAAGAUGAUCCCGCGUUGUAUUAGCUAGUUGGUGAGGUAAAGGCUCACCAAGGCGAUGAUACAUAGCCGACCUGAGAGGGUGAGCGGCCACAUUGGGACUGAGACACGGCCCAAACUGCUACGGGAGGCAGCAGUAGGGAAUCGUCGGCAAUGGACGAAAGUCUGAGCGAGCAACGCCGCGGGAGUGAAGAAGGUUUUCGGAUCGGAAAACUCUGUUGGUAGAGAAGAACGUUGGUGAGAGUGGAAAGCUCAUCAAGUGACGGUAACUACACAGAAAGGGACGGCUAACUACGUG
rnacentral:rRNA from 1 species